AAUGAACGUUGGCGGCAUGGAUUAGGCAUGCAAGUCGGGGGAAUCCCAGCAAUGGGGGAACCGGCGUAAGGGGCAGUAAGGCAUGGGUACCUACCUUGGGGUUCGGGAUAGCCAUCAGAGAUGGUGGGUAAUACCGGAUGACGUCGUGAGACCAAAGAUUUAUCGCCCUUAGAGGGGCCCAUGUGAUAUUAGCUAGUUGGUGGGGUAACGGCCCACCAAGACGAAGAUGUCUAGCGGGUGUGAGAGCACGACCCGCGCCACUCGCACUGAGACACUGGCGAGACACCUACGGGUGGCUGCAGUCGGGGAUCUUCGGCAAUGAGCGCAAGCUUGACCGAGCGAUGCCGCGUGAGCGAUGAAGGCCUUCGGGUUGUAAAGCUCUUUAGUGGGGGAGAUAAGCCGCAAGGUGUGAUCUAUCCCAAAAUAAGCACGGGCUAAGUUCGUGCCAGCCGCCGCCGUAA
rnacentral:rRNA from 1 species